UGUGAGUGAAGAAGGCUUUCGGGUCGUAAAGCUCUGUCAAGCGGGAAAAAAAUCUCGCAGUAAAUAGCUGCGGGACUUGAUGGUACCGCUAGAGGAAGCACCGGCUAACUCCGUGCCAGCAGCCGCGGUAAUACGGAGGGUGCUAGCGUUGUUCGGAAUUAUUGGGCGUAAAGAGCGUGUAGGCGGCUUGGUAAGUCAGAUGUGAAAGCCCUGGGCUCAACCCAGGAAGUGCAUUUGAAACUACUUUGCUUGAGUAUGGGAGAGGAGAGUGGAAUUCCCAGUGUAGAGGUGAAAUUCGUAGAUAUUGGGAGGAACACCCGUGGCGAAGGCGACUCUCUGGACCAAUACUGACGCUGAGACGCGAAAGCGUGGGGAGCAAACAGGAUUAGAUACCCUGGUAGUCCACGCCGUAAACGAUGAGAACUAGGUGUAGCGGGUAUUGACCCCUGCUGUGCCGUAGCUAACGCAUUAA
rnacentral:rRNA from 1 species